UGUCGGUAUUUGAUGCCAAUACCCAAGCAUUAUACUGUAUAUAAGAAACAUGAUUAUAAUUGCAAAACUGCUUGGGAAGCCAAUUUAUGUUUUAUUGUCACUCUUUAUCUGUUGUGACAGGCAGACAAUUGUAUGUUUUAAUUUUCCUGUUUUAAUUAAUGAUCUCGUUCUUUUUUUUUUGCAGGGUCUGGGGUGUUUGCCAUAGGUUCAUUCUCCAAAGGAGUUUUAUAGUGGAAUACAGGGGAGAUUUGAUAAGCGAUGGUGAAGCUCAAAAGAGAAGAAGAAUUUACAACCCUGCAUGUUCUGGAUUUUUGUUCGCGUUCAAGUGGGGAGGCAAAACAUGGUGCAUUGACGCCUCGAGAGAAGAUGGUUCUUUCGGCCGCUUGGUGAACGAUGACCACAGACAUGCCAAUUGCAAGAUGAAGAGAAUAGACAUUGCAGGAAGCACACACCUCUUGUCUUUUUGCUCUCAAAGACAUAAAAGAAGGUGGAGAAAUUGCAUAUAAUUAUGGAGGAGAGGACUGCCCAGGGCGAAAGCAGAUGACUACAUGUGAACCUGACACGCCCUGUGUGAGCUCCCAGCAUGUGCUCAUGUCAGAGCCACAGUGGGAUGAAGCUGCCUGGUAAGAGGACACUGGUCAACAGAAGAGGAAACUGUUGGAGCAACGGAGGGGAAUAAAAUCCCAGCAAAACAGAGACGCAAACUGCCACCAGCAGAAGAUGGAGCAUCUUCUACAGUCUGUGCUGUG